rnacentral:rRNA from 1 species
GACGAACGCUGGCGGCGUGCUUAACACAUGCAAGUCGAGCGGAAAGGCCCUGCUUUUGUGGGGUGCUCGAGUGGCGAACGGGUGAGUAACACGUGAGUAACCUGCCCUUGACUUUGGGAUAACUUCAGGAAACUGGGGCUAAUACCGGAUAGGAGCUCCUGCUGCAUGGUGGGGGUUGGAAAGUUUCGGCGGUUGGGGAUGGACUCGCGGCUUAUCAGCUUGUUGGUGGGGUAGUGGCUUACCAAGGCUUUGACGGGUAGCCGGCAUGGGAGGGUGACCGGCCACAUUGGGACUGAGAUACGGCCCAGACUCCUACGGGAGGCAGCAGGGGGGAAUAUUGCACAAUGGGCGGAAGCCUGAUGCAGCAACGCCGCGUGCGGGAUGACGGCCUUCGGGUUGUAAACAGCUUUCGCCUGUGACGAAGCGUGAGUGACGGUAAUGGGUAAAGAAGCACCGGCUAACUACGUG